UGCUUUAGACUUGCGAAUCUUCACCCUAUUCUUUAGGAGGGCUCCUGAGCUUACAACUGAUUAUGUUCACCCUGUUCUUUAGGCGGGCUCCUGAGCUUGCAACUGAUUAGGUUCACCCUGUUCUUUAGGCGGGCUCCUGAACUUCCUUUUCUUUACCCUGUUCUUCAGGAGGGUUCCUGAACUUUCUUUUUUUUAUUUUUCAACUAUUUUCCUGAACUCAAAAUAAAAAGUGAAAUAGAAAAAAAAAACAUCCCAUUCUUCAGGAGAGUCCUGAGCAAAAAAUAAAUUCCCAUUAUUCAGGAGGGUUGUCCUGAACAAAAAGUAAAUUUCCAUUCUUCAGGAGGGUCCUGUCCCAUUCUUCAGGAGGGUCCCGAACAAAAUGUCAAUUCUCAAUAAACACGAAUAAAAUUUUUGCCCCAGUUAGCACUAGAAAAUUUUGUGAGAGUCAUCAGAUCACAACUUUUAAAAAGUACAGUAAAAAAGGUAAAUCAAGUCCAUGCUAAAGAAAUGCAUUUUUUCAAAGUAAAACUAAUGACCAAAAUUAGGAAAUUCGUCUCCUAACACAUGAAAUUUAAAUUAUCCAGACAAGGAAGUGUGUCUCCUAGUGGUUAAAUGAAAUGACUCAACCAAAAAGUGAAUUUUCUAGGAGUGAAGGUUCCAGUUAAGAAAUGCAUCACCUAAUAAAUUAAACAUGAAUUAUCCAGACUAGGAAGUGCGUCUCCUAGGGUUCAAUGGAAGAACUAGACAAGACAAUGCGUCUUUUAGGAGUAAUGGUUCAAGCUAAGAAGUGGGUUACCUAACACAUGAAAACUGACAUACCCUGACUAGGAAGUGCGUCUCCUAGGAGUCAAAUGAAAUGACUCGACUAGAAAGUGCGUCUUCUAGGAGUGAAUGUUCAAGUUAGGAAGUGUGUUACCUAACAAAUAAAAACUAACUUAUUCAGACUAGGAAGUGUGUCUCCUAGGGGUUGAAUGAAAUGACUCAACUAGAAAGUGCGUUUUCUAGGAGUAAUGAUUCAAGUUAGAAAGUGCUUCACGUAACAAAUGAAAGAUGACUUAUUCAGACUAGGAAGUGCGUCUCCUAGGGGUUAAAUGAAAUGACUCGAUUAGAAAGUGCGUCUUCUAGAAGUGAAUGUUCAAGUUAGGAAGUGCAUUACCUAACAAAUGAAAACUAACAUACCCUGACUAGUAAGUGCGUCUCCUAGGGGUUAAAUGAAAUGACUCUACUAGAAAGUGCAUCUUCUAGGAGUAAUGAUUCAAGUUAGGAAGUGCAUUACCUAACAAAUG
rnacentral:lncRNA from 1 species